rnacentral:rRNA from 1 species
UACAGAGACUGCAAGCGUUGUUCGGAAUUACUGGGCGUAAAGGGCUCGUAGGCGGCCAACUAAGUCGGACGUGAAAUCCCUCAGCUUAACUGGGGAACUGCGUCCGAUACUGGAUGGCUUGGAUUUGGGAGAGGGAUGCGGAAUUCCAGGUGUAGCGGUGAAAUGCGUAGAUGUCUGGAGGAACACCGGUGGCGAAGGCGGCAUCCUGGACCAAUAUUGACGCUGAGGAGCGAAAGCUAGGGGAGCAAACGGG